GGACAGGUGGCCGAGCGGUUGAAGGCGCCCGCCUGGAAAGUGGGUAGACGGUGUGAGCCGUCUCGCGGGUUCGAAUCCCGCCCUGUCCGCCA
rnacentral:tRNA from 1 species